GCCGGGCGCGGUGGCCCACACCUGUCAUCCCAGCGCCUCGGGAGGCUGAGGCAGGAGGAUCUCGAGUUCAAAGCCAGCCUCAGCAAGGGUGAGGCCCUAAGCAACUGAGGGAGACCCUGUGUCUA
rnacentral:sRNA from 1 species